rnacentral:rRNA from 1 species
UUAGGAAUAUUGGACAAUGGGCGAAAGCCUGAUCCAGCCAUGCCGCGUGUGUGAUGAAGGCCCUAGGGUUGUAAAGCACUUUCGUUGGGGAAGAUAAUGACUGUACCCAAAGAAGAAGCACCGGCUAACUUCGUGCCAGCAGCCGCGGUAAUACGAAGGGUGCAAGCGUUGUUCGGAAUCACUGGGCGUAAAGAAUGCGUAGGCGGCUUAACAAGUCGGGAGUGAAAUCCCAGGGCUCAACCCUGGAACUGCUCUCGAAACUGUUUUGCUAGAGUCCCGGAGGGGUUAGCGGAAUUCCGAGUGUAGAGGUGAAAUUCGCAGAUAUUCGGAGGAACACCAGUGGCGAAGGCGGCUAACUGGACGGGAACUGACGCUGAGGCAUGAAAGUGUGGGGAUCAAA